UUUCAAUCACAUCCAAUGGACAUCCAUGGCCCAAGCCUGUUGAACGAGGACGUGAGAACAGACAGAGAGAGAAAGAACACAUGGAAAGAUUUGAAAGCACGGAGGAACCUUUUUGCAGCUGUCAGAUACAGUUGUCCCUCCGUACCGGCAGGGGAUAUGUUCCAAGACUUAUUGCAGAACCCCAAAUCCACGGAUAGGAGCGAACC